UUUGCAGAUAAAUUAUUUCUUGUAACAAAACGAAGCAUACCCUUUUAACUGAUAAUUCGAUCUCCUUGGAGAACUUGCAAUACUUCAAUACUGCGAUGAACUCCUUGAGCAACAUAAAACAAUGGUCUUCAAACUUCAAAGAACGGCAUCUGCAAGGUCCGACAACUUGAGGAUGAAAUAAAUGAGCUUUUCUUGGUCAUAAACUCCGCUGAUUCUUGAGGAACAGUGAUAUACAACUUCUUAGUUUUCCCAAUAGCAACAUAAGAAAUAAUAUCCAUUCUUCACGAUCAAAGAGCAUUGCAGAUACUUCAGCAGUCCUUUUUCAUUAGACACUAACAUCCAUCGGACAAAAGUAGUUGCUGUCGGGCACAAGGAUAGAUCUGUUAUGCAGUUAAAUCAUCUUAUGCCGAUUCUGCCACUAACUUUAAAUCAUUUGAUCACGCAUUAAAAAUCUUCAGUCACUGAUUAUGAAAGAAUUUUGAUGUUUCGCGCCGUACAAGAUCAUCGUCAUCAUCACCCAAGACCUUCCCACUAGAUAAUUCCAGUUAUUGGAGCAGGACUCAAAACACUGAGAACUGGAAGAUGACUAUCAGAAGAGGAAGUAAUGGUGCAUGUAGAGUAAAAUAGGUGUGGUUGGAGUGUGGUAUUUAUGUCAGUCAGGCAAAUGUAACGGUUGGGUGUGAGAUUUAAACAUAUGAUUAGACUGGGACAGGCAAAAGUUGGACUGAACAAAGCAACUCAUUUCAACGGUUUGGGAUCUGAAAUUGAAAGAACAUGUGACUACUUAACAGCCUGCAAUGCUGGUUUCAGCCAAAUCGGUUUGGUUGUAAUAAGGCAGGUGAGAAACUAAAUCGGUUUGGUUGUAAUAAGGCAGGUGAGAAACUACAGUAUUAUAUAAUUUAAAUGAAACCUCAGUAUAUAGAAUAAGCACAUUCUUAAUUAAUACAUGAAGUUUCCCUUUCCAUCAAAAUAAUAAUAAAUAUUAAUACAUGAAGAUUUUUACAGCAGAACCUAGGAGUUUUCUUACGGACGUUCUCCAGUUGAGCAGUGGAAAGGUGAUGAAGGGAUGGAGUAGAAGGGUUGAUGAAAGGAUCAUCAAAUAAUUUCACAGAGCUAACAAACCCAACAUAGUACAGGUCUCCAUCGUUCCAUGAUUCCGUCCACUCAAGUGAUCG
rnacentral:lncRNA from 1 species